rnacentral:rRNA from 1 species
GAUGAACGCUGGCGGCGUGCUUAACACAUGCAAGUCGAACGGAAAGGUCCAAGCUUGCUUGGUCACUCGAGUGGCGAACGGGUGAGUAAAACGUGGGUGAACUGCCCUGCACUUCGGGAUAAGCCUUGGAAACUGGGUCUAAUACCGGGUAGGACCACUUUAAGGACGGUGUGGUGGAAAGAUUUUCGGUGUGGGAUGCGCUCGCAGCCUAUUAGCCUGUUGGUGGGGUAAUGGCCUAGCAAGGCGUAGACGGGUAGCCGGCCUGCGAGGGUGUACGGACAGUUUAGGCCUCUGAGGCAGGCCGGAGUCCGGCGUGUGGCAGAAGGGGCGAAAAUUUGACAAUGCACGGCAGCCUGAGGGAGCAACGCCGCGUGGUCGAUGACGGCUUUCAGGUUGGAAGCUCCUAUCGCUAGGGACGAAGCCAUGUUGUGACGGUACCUAGAGAAGAAGCACCGGCUAACUACGUG